GNUUNAUUCGAUGAUACGCGAGGAACCUUACCAGGGUUUAAAUNUAGGACGACCGUUCUGGAAACAGGACUUUCUUCGGACGGACUACAAGGUGCUGCAUGGUUGUCGUCAGCUCGUGCUGUGAAGUGUCGGGUUAAGUCCCAUAACGAGCGCAACCCCUAUCUUUAGUUGCCAGCGGUUCGGCCGGGGACUCUAAAGAAACUGCCAGCGUAAGCUGUGAGGAAGGUGGGGAUGACGUCAAAUCAUCACGGCCCUUACAUCCUGGGCCACACACGUGCUACAAUGGUAUGGACAGAGAGUUGCCAACCCGCGAGGGUGAGCUAAUCUUCAAACCAUAUCUCAGUUCGGAUCGGAGUCUGCAACUCGACUCCGUGAAGUUGGAAUCGCUAGUAAUCGCACAUCAGCCAUGGUGCGGUGAAUACGUUCCCGGGCCUUGUACACACCGCCCGUCAAGCCAUGGAAGCUGGGGGCGCCUGAAGUCGGUCACCGCAAG
rnacentral:rRNA from 1 species